GUUGUAGUGAACACUUAGAAAACCCGUCAAGGUGAGAACACCCAUAGAAAAAAUGAACAUUUCUCUCUUCGGAUUCACCGACUGAUCCCCCAUCUGGAUAUUUCAUCCGGACACGUACACGUCUUGUACAGGUCUGAGCAUUUUUCCCGAUCCGUUCUUCCUGAUCAUGUGUAGACAUGAACUUUUAGGUUUUUAAGGUUCGACUUUAAAUCCUCAGAACCCGGAAUGACAGCUGGACCGGCGCCGCCGCCACAGAACGAAGACAGAGCGAAGACCUUUUAUAUCCAAUAUUCACUCUCCCCGUUAUUGCUUUUCUCGACACGGCUGAGCUGAGGUAUGAUGCAGCGGUCUGAGGAGGAUGGACCGGCCCGGUGACGAGGCGGCGUGACGAGGAGGCGGAGUUUGAUGAUUUGAGACACGAAGAAGCAUGAGAGUUCAGCUGACUCACCGUCACCUCCGGCCCUCCUCCAGCUCUGUCCACGCUCAGGUGUUCAUCCGAGCCUUUCAGCUUCCUCACCUGGAACCAAACAGGCAGGCAUCAGCAUGGCGGCGGAAGUCUCAUACUGAUAGAAGACUCGUCUGCUCUCCAUCCCGUUGUGACCAGAGGGAUAAAGAACCUUCUGCUUAUUGAAGACCCGAUUGAAAGAAUUGCGGCUAUUAAAGGAAGCCAGACAUUGAUGCAGAGAAAUCGAAUGAACCUCCACAGGACACUUAACAAAAACAGACGGAGAUCGAUGCAGAACGGAGGAGAACAUCUCUGGGAGGACAGUCGAUGGCGUGGAAAAGCUCCACGCCGAGUCAGGCAGAGGUCAUGUGAUGAUGGCAGGCGGCGGAGCUCGUGUCUUAUUACUCUGAUGUCUUUGGUGAAUAUCAUGAGUGUCUUUAGUAGUUUAGAUAUCUUCUUGUUUUGUGUCCAUAAUCUUUGUGUUCUAAUGUUUUAUUUAACUUUAGAGUUUUUGUUUUUGUUUUUUAUUUAUGAUUUCAAUUUCCUCUUAAAUUAUGGGAAUUUUCUUUCUCCUAUUAUGAAUUAUUUCUGGAUCUUAUUUGGCAAAAAGUCGUCAAAUGUCUGGUUCUUUGUGAGGCCACAGAUGAAAAUAAGAAUUUGUUCGUAAUCUGUCUUGCCUGAAUAAAUAAAAUAAAAUAAAAUAAAA